GUUUAAGUAGCUUAACUUAGAGCGUAAUACUGAAGAUAUUAAGGUAAUUCAUAAUUCUUAAAUA
rnacentral:tRNA from 1 species